rnacentral:rRNA from 1 species
ACGCUGGCGGCAGGCCUAACACAUGCAAGUCGAGCGGUAGAGAGAAGCUUGCUUCUCUUGAGAGCGGCGGUCGGGUGAGUAAUGCAUAGGAAUCUGCCUGGUAGUGGGGGAUAACGUUCGGAAACGGACGCUAAUACCGCAUACGUCCUACGGGAGAAAGCAGGGGACUUUCGGGCCUUGCGCUAUCAGAUGAGCCUAGGUCGGAUUAGCUAGUUGGUGGGGUAAUGGCUCACCAAGGCGACGAUCCGUAACUGGUCUGAGAGGAUGAUCAGUCACACUGGAACUGAGACACGGUCCAGACUCCUACGGGAGGCAGCAGUGGGGAAUAUUGGACAAUGGGCGAAAGCCUGAUCCAGCCAUGCCGCGUGUGUGAAGAAGGUCUUCGGAUUGUAAAGCACUUUAAGUUGGGAGGAAGGGCAGUUGCCUAAUACGUAACUGUUUUGACGUUACCGACAGAAUAAGCACCGGCUAACUCUGUGCCAGCAGCCGCGGUAAUACAGAGGGUGCAAGCGUUAAUCGGAAUUACUGGGCGUAAAGCGCGCGUAGGUGGUUUGUUAAGUUGGAUGUGAAAUCCCCGGGCUCAACCUGGGAACUGCAUUCAAAACUGACUGACUAGAGUAUGGUAGAGGGUGGUGGAAUUUCCUGUGUAGCGGUGAAAUGCGUAGAUAUAGGAAGGAACACCAGUGGCGAAGGCGACCACCUGGACUGAUACUGACACUGAGGUGCGAAAGCGUGGGGAGCAAAC